CCUACGGGAGGCAGCAGUGAGGAAUAUUGGUCAAUGGACGAGAGUCUGAACCAGCCAAGUAGCGUGAAGGAUGACUGCCCUAUGGGUUGUAAACUUCUUUUAUAUGGGAAUAAAAUGUUCCACGUGUGGGAUUUUGUAUGUACCAUAUGAAUAAGGAUCGGCUAACUCCGUGCCAGCAGCCGCGGUAAUACGGAGGAUCCGAGCGUUAUCCGGAUUUCUUGGGUUUAAAGGGAGCGUAGGUGGAUUGUUAAGGCAGUUGUGAAAGUUUGCGGCACAACCGUAAAAUUGCAGUUGAAACUGGCAGUCUUGAGUACAGUAGAGGUGAGCGGAAUGCGUGGUGUAGCGGUGAAAUGCUUAGAUAGCACGAAGAACUCCGAUUGCGAAGGCAGCUCACUGGACUGCAACGGACACUGAGGCUCGAAAGUGUGGGUAUCAAACAGGAUUAGAUACCCGAGUAGUC
rnacentral:rRNA from 1 species